rnacentral:rRNA from 1 species
CCUACGGGAGGCAGCAGUGGGGAAUAUUGCACAAUGGGGGAAACCCUGAUGCAGCGACGCCGCGUGAGUGAAGAAGUAUUUCGGUAUGUAAAGCUCUAUCAGCAGGGAAGAAAUAAAGUCCUUCGGACUUUGGACGGUACCUGACUAAGAAGCCACGGCUAACUACGUGCCAGCAGCCGCGGUAAUACGUAGGGGGCAAGCGUUAUCCGGAUUUACUGGGUGUAAAGGGAGCGUAGACGGCAGCGCAAGUCUGGAGUGAAAUCCCAUGGCUUAACCAUGGAACUGCUUUGGAAACUGUGCAGCUGGAGUGCAGGAGAGGUAAGCGGAAUUCCUAGUGUAGCGGUGAAAUGCGUAGAUAUUAGGAGGAACACCAGUGGCGAAGGCGGCUUACCGGACUGUAACUGACGUUGAGGCUCGAAAGCGUGGGGAGCAAACAGGAUUAGAUACCCUGGUAGUC